GGGAGGGGACGGAGGGAGGCACAAGAUGUCUUGGAUUAGCUUCAGGAAAAAAAAUCACAGCGACACUAGGGUCCAGUAGCCUCCCUUCACAGCAGCCCAGGAACCCCGGACUUCAGCUUUUGGUGCAGAGGAUGCGGCAAGUUACCAGCUUCGUUAUCUGUCUGCUGGGAUCACUGUGCAGCCUGCUUGACAUCCUGGGCAACCCUCUGCCUCGGAUUUGAAACUUCUCUUCACAACCUACGUAGGCAAUACUGGCUACAGCUGGCCUUGAGCUCUUCAGCCACAUUGGGGAAUGCCAAAUGCCAUCAGUGUCACAAGGUCCUGGUCAUUUGCUUAAAGUCCAGCUGCACAGGCACUGUAUGGUCUCAGCUCUGACCCAGCAGAGGCACUGCACCUCUCUAGGUAAGCCCUAUGUGCUUCUCCACAGAACCCUUAGGAGUUGAGUCUGGGCCUGGAUAUUUAAGUUGAAGACUCCAUUCUAGGAGCUGUCCUAUGCCUACCUCCUCACAUCUCUGGUGCUACUGAUACAAGAACAUCAUUGGGUUUGUCUGGCCACAUUCCUCCAAAGGGACAUGGUCUCUCCUGUGCAUGCAGUAGACAACUAUACAUGCUUGUUUCACUUCCCAACUCUUCUAGAAUAACGUUCUUCCCCCUAUGUUCCCUUCUGUGCAUGGUGCCACCCUGGGCCACCCCUUCAGUCCCCAGGGCUGUCAUUGUCACUCUUUGUCAGUGGACCCCAUGGAGGAGGGAGCAAGUGGACAGAUUAUGCUGGGAUUAAACACCAGAAAGCAAGAGGCAGCUUUGGCCACCCAGAGGAACCAUGCUCUGAUUAGUCACCACAAACAAUGGCUUGUUUACUGGGUUUUUCUGAGCUUGCUAAUGAGAGGAGGAAAUUCCUAUUCACCCCACCCCCUGGGUGAGGGAGGCCAUGGCUGCAGGCUGACCUCCCAGGGAAGAGCCUCGCCAGCAGCUCUGACCACUCAGAGGCAUAGAGACCUGGUCACCCAUGCUCUAUCACUCAUGGAAAACUGCAAGGGAUUUAGCCUUCCAGGGCUGGGCUGUCACUCAGCCCCGGUCAAGAGGGCCUGCUUGGCCUUGAGGGUAAGAGGUGGGGCAGUUCCUGGUUACAUCUGCAAACGCAGAAGAGGCUAACAAAACCCAUCCAAACUGUCCCUUGUCCUCUCUGACUCAUAGACUACUCUAAUGGCCCCUCUCCACCUCCCCUCAAGAGCCUUUCUCCAACAACUCCCAGUGAUUCCCUCCCACCCAUCAGGAAUGAGUCUUUAGGAAGAAGCACCAAGCUCAAGGCAAGAAAGGAUCUGUAAAUUCCAGCAUCUGCUGCCUUUUAAAAGUGUUUUCUUGAGACAGAGUCUCAUAUGGCUUAGGUUGACCUUGAACCCCUUAUCGAAGCCAGAGAAAACCUCCUCCUUCCACCUCCCAAGCGCUGGAAUUAGAGGUAUGUGCUAUCACACCCAGUUUUAUGCAGUGCUGACAAUCAAACCCAGGGCUUUGUGCCUGCCCCAGCCGGCCGCUUUCUGUAUAAUGUGUCUAUCUU